rnacentral:rRNA from 1 species
GGUUGAUCCUGCCAGUAGUGUAUGCUUGUCUCAAAGAUUAAGCCAUGCAUGUAUCAGUAUAAGCAAUAAUACAGUGAAACUGCGAAUGGCUCAUUAAAUCAGUUAUAAUCUAUUUGAUCGUAUUUGCUAGAUGGAUAACCCUGGCAAUUCUAGAGCUAAUACACGAAAAAACACGGAUUUCCGUGGUGUUCAUUAGAUUCAAAAACCAAUGCUUCGGCUUUAUGGUGAUUCAUGAUGACCUCUCGAAGCGUGUGCCUUGUGCUACGCUGGUUCAUUCGAAUUUCUGCCCUAU